ensembl:lncRNA
GUAUGAAGAAUUAAGAUGUAAAAUUUCCACCUUCUAGUGCUUUUCUUUCUGUUUGGUCUAGCAGGACUGGUACCAGAAAGUCACUUGGGUGGACCUGUGUGUGAUUGUGUGGUGGUGUGGGGGAAGGGGGAGAAUGGGUUCUCUGGAGAAAAUAAAGGAAACAGGCUCUGGAAGGGUAUACUAGCUUUAUUGUCCAGCAAAGCAAGGCAGGGAGAAAUAGAAGAUGAGGAAAAGGAAAUGCAUGCGUACUAAUGAAAUGGCACUGUGCCAAGUCACUGUUCUAAGUGUUUGACAUAUUUCUUCUCAUCCUAUUAGCAUCUGGUGCUAUUAUAUGUGUAACUCUCCCUAUUUUGCAGACAAACAGAGGAAGACACUGAGAAGUGAAGGGACUUGCUCGAGACCAAAUAUUUUGUGUUUGAGGAAGUAAAUGGUGAGGCUUCUUGAGGGAAAGUGCCCAGGCAUCUUAUCUGCAGGGUUAGACGUGCGUGACUCUCUGAGCCCAGACUGACCCUGAGCUCCAGGGGCAGAUAAGUUCCACUUGUGGCAAUGCUGAGGUCAGUGACCUUAAGCUCCAGAACAGGACUUGCCCACACAGUAGCCUCUCUGCCGUGGCUUCUGGCGGCUGCAGUGGAAAUUGCAAUUUUUAUUUUCCAUGAGUGGAUGUGGGGACUUCCUUUGCUUCUGCCCUUAAAAAUAAAAAUAAGAAUAAAUCGGGGGCCAGCCCAGUGGCAUAGUGGUUAAGUUCACAUGCUCUGCUUCGGUGGCCCAGGGUUCACAGGCUUGGAUCCUGGGCACGGACCUAGCACCACUUGUCAAGCCACGCUGUGGCGGCAUCCCACAUAAAAUAGAGGAAGAUAGGCACAUAUGUUAGCUCAGAGACAAUCUUCCUCAAGCAAAAUGAGGAAGACUGGCAACAGAUGUUAGCUCAGGGCCAAUCUUCCUCACACAAAAAAAAGAGAAGCAAAAGAAUAAAUGUUCCAAGCCAGCAGCAGCUCUGCCACUAGUGCUAACCUUGGAGGUCACAGUAGAAUGUCACCUACUGGUCACUGCAUGAGUCAGAGACUUCUUUGUCUCCCAAGUUUACAAAAAACGUUCAUGGUACCUAAACGUGGGGUGAGGAGGGAAAGGAAUACAUGGUGGUGUAUAACUAUUGGGAAAUGGAAACUUGAUAUGUUUUUAUGAGAUUUAUCUUCCAGUUACUUUCAAUUUGUUUGAGAGGAAAUCUACUGCUUGGUUAAUAUAAAGUAUCUCUUAGGCUGGAAACUUUCCUUCCCUUCAGUUCUGGAAGCAGGAGCACUCCCGCCCUCAAUGAUUCAUCUUAUCUGCAUGACAUCUCGUUGUGAAAAGAGUACUCAAUAUUGUUUGAGGGGCUGCAUUGAAACACAGAGAGAAGAGAAGAAGAAAGAAGAUUAAGCAAAAAAUGUCUCCACAGUUAGGAGGGAACUUCCUUUCUCUGGCUUCACGUUUCCUAUGGGGGAACUUCCCAUAGAGAAACACACCUUCUCCCUACUCCUUCACCUGCUCCUUUUCAGGGAAGGAGGGAUGAACAUAAUCACAGAGUUUGGAACUAGGCGUUGGGUUUGGACAGCUCAGCUCCUCUGAGUUUCUUCUCUCUUUCUGGAGCCAGUCUGCCCACUGGAAAGCAACAUUGGCACUCUUGACUCUCAAGCCUUUGGACUAGAACUGAAUUACACUACCAGCUUUCCAGUUCUCCAGCAUGCAGGCAGCAGAUCAUGGGAUUUCUUGGUGUCCAUAACCACGUGAGCUAACCGCUAUAACAAAUCUCUUAUAUGUACAGUCAUGCGUUGCUUAACAACAAGGAUACAUUCUGAGAAAUGCAUCGUUAGGCAGUUUUGUUGUGCAGACAUCAUAGAGUAUACUUGCACAAACCUAGGUAGUAUAACCUGCUAUGCACACAAGCUAUGUAGUACUAAUCUUAUGGGACCACCAUUUGUAUGUGCGGUCUGUCAUUGACCAAAACAUCAUUAUGUCAUGCAUGACUCUAUCUCUAUCUCUAUCUAAUCUCUAUAUUGUAUUGGUUCUUUUUCUCUGGACAACUCUGAUUAAUACAGCACUGUAAUUGCUCAAAGGCUGCUCUCUCAGAGAGACAUCAGUGUGCACACACAGGUUUCUUCACCACCCCACCAUGAAGACAGCAUGAAAAGAUACUCAAAUUCAAUUUUAACUAGUUUUAAAUUCACACAUCAUUGAUCUUCAAAAACUGGAAUUGAUUGGCAUCCUUGAGGAUGAAAAGCAAGGUUUCUUUUCCUCCAUCUACCCUCCUUCCUUCGGAUCCUCCUGAGUUACUGCUUGGUAUUUGGAAACAUGUUAUAGUUGUAGGUUAAUUAUGGGGUUCUGGAAACCUAAUUUUCCUUGGGGAAACUGUUCAAGGGGCUUAUUUUUGGCUUGUUUUCUAUAUUUUGUAAAUGUGGAGCUGAGAAAAGUUGGAAUGCUGCUAAAUCCCCGACGUUACACAGAAUCUGAGGGAGACAUCUCUGGGUGAGUUAGUGAAAUAAGAAAAUGUGGUAAGGUGACUUUUGGACUUUUUUUUAACAUCCAGGGUAAAGGGGUUUAACUGUUCUUUUUUUUUUUAGGGUGAGGAAGAUUGGUGCUGAGCCAACAUCUACUGCCAAUCUUACUCUUUUUGCUUGAGGAAGAUUGUCAUGAGCCAAUAUCCAUGCCAAUCUUCCUCUAUGUUGCAUGUGGGACACUUGCCAUAGCAUAGCUUAAUGAGAAGAGUGUCUGUCCACGCCCAGAUCCGAACCCGCAAACCCUGGGCUACUGAAGCGAAGCACACAAAUUUAACCACUACGCCACUAGACCAGCCCCAAAGGGGUUUAACUUUUUAAAUUUUUCCUUGGGAAUUUGAUAGUGAAAGAAGGUUUACAUCAAACACUGCAGCAUAAUUCUACUGUUGAUAAUGUAGAAUUAAAAAAUUUUCUCUCAUCAUUUGAAUUUAUUAUGUACCAUUUUGGGAGCUAUAUUGGACAACAUGGCCUAACAUAAUAAAAAAUGAGAAGCCAAAGAGAAAUUGAAAAAUUUUAAAUGAAUUUUUAUAUUAAAACCACUUUUUAAUUCCUUAUUGGAAGAUCUGAGAAUUUCCCUAUGGAUUAAGCAAUUGCAGGCUUGCCAUCCAGGCCUUCAAAUUUGUACCAAAUGGUAAGGGAGCUCCUAGAAGCUGCAUUUUCUCCAGUUCUCAUCCUCACUGUGGCUUUGGAAGACAACGGACCAAGGAAAUCUUCCUGGAGAAUAGAACUGCGAAUAAAUGAACUGUCUGACCAAGGAGCACGUGUCACCGUUUGGACCAAGCUCCCGUGAUAUUCUUAUGCGGUGUUCAUUGGAGGAGAGUUUGACUUGACUUCCUUUUGGGAAAAGCUGAGUGCACAUCAUGGAGCUGUGAUCCUUGGUGGAAGUGUGUAUCAGAAGAAAAAUGUACUUGCAUGAGGAAUAGCCAGAGGAGUGAACUGCACCACAAACUUGUUGUUUCUGCGUUCCUCUCCCAACAAUCUAUGACUUCUGUUUGGGUAUCCCGGUAGUUCUGAGGAACAGACUCCACCCCCUUCUCCAGCUCCGGUUCUGGGCUGUCAUCCCCCACUCCCACGGCAGUGAUCCAUUCAGUGCGGACACGUGACCUAACGUGGUUCAGUCAGAUUGAUUCUCAGUAGUUCUGAAACUUCAGACAAAAACACUGUUCUUCCCAACUAUGGGGUAGUAUGUGGAUGCAAGCCCUGUUCUCGAUGUAGACAUUUUUGUUAACAGCAGGGAAUCAGCCUGAGGAUGAAGCCAAAACGCCACAGACAGCAGAGCCAAGAAUUUGGGCUGCAGGCUCCGUGACAUCAUAAACUGCUGCUCUAAUCUUGUCUGAACUUUGCCCUGACUCUGUCCUUUUUGGAUACGUAAGCCUAUAAAUUUUGUUUAGUUUUAAGGAAGGUGGUUAAGUUUUAAUUGUAUUAAUUGAAAAGCUCAUGACACAUUAUCAUUGUAUGCAUCAUGUUUUCUUAUGCAAAUAUAUGCAUAGAAUGAAUUCCUGGCAGUAGAAUUUCCAAGCAUAAAUUGCCCAAUUAAAACAGACACACACAAAAAUAAGGUUAGAAACUGACAUGAAAUAGUGUAUAUUAGGUGGAAACAUGUCUCUUAUGUCAAUAUUUGUAAAUGUAAAAAACACAUUAAUAGGAAGAUUCUUAGAUUAAGUCACAAAACAAAACCCAGUAACAUUUUAUAUAUGACACAGUUAAGCCAAAUGAUUGUGUGAAAAAUAUGUGUUCUUGGUGAGAGUGACUACUAGCUUAGUUAUGAUUGGUAGUUUAAUUGGAGGUACAACUAGCCUUGCUGCUUAGAUACUAAAUCUCAAAAAGGAGCCCUUCAAAUAUUACUUGAAUACAUCUAGGCCUUCUUGUUCUCCUUGGUGGAGCAAAGAAUGCAUAUAACAGUCUCACCAUCUGAGCAUUGAGAACAAUGCAAAUCUUUAAGUCUCUUAAAAUGUCAGCAAAAUGGUGGGGGAGGGAGGGCAUGAUUUCAUCAGAGCACACGGAAUGAAACUUUCUCAAGGCAGUUUCUUACCAGAAUCUUAUUUACCCAUGGCAGCCCUUUCUCCACUGUUUCUUCCCUCUUCUUCACACUGUCUAGCCUCCUCUAGCAACUUUUCUGUUUUCUUGGAAAAAUUUCAUGAACUUUUUUGUUUUUUGUUUUUUUUGGUGAAGAAGAUUGGCCCUGAGCUAAUGCCUGUUGCCAAUUUUCCUCUUUUUUACUUGAGGAAGAUUGGCCCUGAGGUAACAUCUGUGCCAGCCUUCCUCUAUUUUGUAUGUGGGUUGCCACCCCAACAUGGCUUGAUGAGUGGUGUAGGGCCGUGCCUGAGAUCCGAACCCAUGAAUCCAGGCUGCCAAAGCAGAGUAUGCCAAACUUAACCACUAUACCACCAGCCCAGCUCCACUUUUUUUUUUAAUAGAAAGAGAAAUAAAUUUUCCUAUUUAUAAAAUAUAAGAAGGAAAAGGGCCCUGGGUAUAAAAUCUAAAUGUCUAGGAUGUGAAUGGUCGGGAACACAUAAUAUGACUCUGCUUCCGUCAGUCAUGAGUGUGAGGUGCAAGGAAAAUAGGGCCUGAGAGCUCUUUCUGUACCAGACAGAAAACCUCACAAGAGUAAGAGCCACAGAGCCUCUGUGAAGAAGAUGGAUCAGAGAGAAGUGAAUGGUGUAGAGCAGAAAUUUAACUCUCUCUCUCAAUUUCUUUUCUUCGUAAGCCUACCCCUAAGACUCUGGCCUAGUUGGUGGUCCUCCCAAAAGGAUUAGCUCAUAGUAGAAAUGUGUGCACGUGGGACGGGAGAUAGAGGGAGGGACUCCAGCAGAGGAAAUGUUUACGAAUGCACACACUCUAAGAUCACCUGUCUGCCACAGAGCCAUAGGUUUCCUCUCAUAGUUGUUAACCAAUGUGUAAGUACAAUUUUGUAUGCUAGUUUUUCCCUUAAAGUGAUGGCAUAAAGAUUUUACCAUGGCUGUAUCAACUCUUCAUCAAUACUGUCUCUAACUUUAAUAUCAGUGCAAUAUUUCUUUGGGUCUAGAAUAUCUUAAUCUAAUUAGAUAGUCUUCAUUUUUGUGCAUUUGUAUCAAACUUUCUUUAUGUGAUAAAUAAUGUGCUCCCCCCUUUGCAUUGAGAAACACAAAAAUGACUUGUUUACUGUCACAGAGACCUUUGUUUCUCCAAUUCAGAUAGGUAAAUUGUCUAAAUUCUGUACUCUGGGCCCUAGAAAUGAAGGAUAGAAAAUGAGGAGAGGAAAAGAAACCAAGCCGUUCUUGAGGAAAGAAAUGGGAAAAGGAGUUAUAAGGAGGCGAUAAAAUUGUUUCUUCUCCAGGACAAACAAGUGAAAAAAUUGGGCUCCCCUCCCACCAGGAAUUCUGGCUCCCACUUAUGGAUCCUGAGACUGGCAGAUUUUUCCAGGCUGUGGAAAACUGAUACUCAGCUGAGGAAUCACAUCACAGGCUGUAACACUUAAUGUUAUUAUUUUUCACUUGAUUGUGCAAAAGAAGUGUGUUAAUAUGACUUCUAGGACUGAUACCAAGUAAGUACACUGCCUACAAUUGCUGCUUUGUCUUAUUUUGCUCUUGUUCCAAAUUCAAAUGAUUUUAUCCAUCACUUCAUUCAUCGCUUAAGGAGAUGAC